rnacentral:lncRNA from 1 species
CACAGACUCAGAGAACUAACAUGGUUAGUGGAAGAAGGAUGAGAGGAAGAGUGCGGGGUGCGCUCCGCAGAAAGAGAAAGGCAGUGGAACUUCCCUCAGCAACGCCGAGGGGUCCGGAGGGGAGGUGAGCCUGCUGUCCGCCAACCCAGCUCCUCGCGAGCAAGAGACAAUCAGACGCGACAGGGGUUCAGUCUGAGCCCUUCCGCUUUCUUGCCACAAACUCUUGGCUUAUAUAGGCAAACAAGGGAGUUCUGCGAGGGACCUCCCAUAGUUGCACCAAUCACGUUAAAGGUCAAAUUAUAAUAUGCACAUAAGGUCAAGUCGUCAUGAGCUUAAUAGGAGUCUAUGGUAAUCACGUACUGUCCACGUGUACGAACGUCAAGAGAGCCAAUCAAAAACUUUAACAUAGGCCAUGCCCCUAUCUCUUCCGCCAGAUGCCAUCUUGGCUUCCAACCGCAAAAGCUAGCCCCGUUUUUUUUUAAGCUUUCCCUCCUAGGGCCCCACAGAAGAGACAUUCUUCUCUGCAAAGCCGAAUGGCCAGGGCCCUCAUCACUGACCACUGGUCUAGGAACUGGUGCCUUCACCGCGGCCACCAGCCUCCAUCUCUGGCUGGGGACCCAAACCCCGCUCCAAGCCACUGUGGGCCGAGGCCACCCGAUCACCGCUGCAGCGCAGAGAACUCUUCUGGGUACUAUGUAACAACCUGAACGGAAAAAGAAUUGGAAAAGAAGAGAUGAGUGAACUUAAUCACUUUGCGGUACACCUAAAUGAUCACAAUAAUGUUAGCUUGCUGUAUUCUAUGUAAAUAAAAAGUUAAAAUAAUAAUAAUCGUAGAGCUUUUAUUUUGCUCUUGCUGGUAAAAGCAGACUCCUGGUGACCCUCAGCCUCCAUUCCUGCGUGCUGGCCACUGCUGGUUCUGAUCCGACGCGGACCCUUUAGCUCACAGGCCUUGUCCAGGGCACCCGCAGACCCCUGCCUGCCUCGUCUGUGUGGAUACCUGUCAGGCCCUCCAGGUAGACGACCUUCGCCACCCCCAGGCUUCAGUUCUAGCAGAUGUAAAUGAAGGGUCUGUGUGUGCCUUUGUUUGCACCCCGUCUGGUGCUAGAUGCUAUGGCAACAAGAAAGAAGAAUCCGACCAGGCGCUUUGCUUCAUGGAGCCUACAGCUUGGCACACACAGAGCUCCCCAGCCAGGGCGCCUGGGGCUCAGCCCUGAGACCAUGCGAGAGGUCCUGGUGAGGAAGAGGCUGUGUCUGGCUGGAGUCACCAGGGAAGCCUCUAGAACUGAUCGAGACGGG